rnacentral:piRNA from 1 species
UACCUCACAUCCAGCUGGCAUGA